CGGGGUGUAGCGCAGCCUGGUAGCGCACUCGCUUUGGGAGCGAGUGGUCGCCGGUUCGAAUCCGGCCACCCCGA
rnacentral:tRNA from 1 species